CCUACGGGAGGCAGCAGUGGGGAAUAUUGCACAAUGGGCGAAAGCCUGAUGCAGCGACGCCGCGUGAGGGAUGACGGCCUUCGGGUUGUAAACCUCUUUCGACAGGGACGAAGCGUGAGUGACGGUACCUGUAGAAGAAGCACCGGCCAACUACGUGCCAGCAGCCGCGGUAAU
rnacentral:rRNA from 1 species